UUGCCCUAGUAACGGCGAGUGAAGCGGCAAAAGCUCAAAUUUGAAAUCUGGCACCUUUGGUGUCCGAAUUGUAAUUUGGAGAGGCAACUUCGGGUAGGACCCAGUCUAUGUUCCUUGGAACAGGACGUCAUAGAGGGUGAGAAUCCCGUUCAUGACUGGAUGUUCCUACUAGUACGUAGUGCCUUCUACGAGUCGAGUUGUUUGGGAAUGCAGCUCAAAAUGGGUGGUAAAUUUCAUCUAAAGCUAAAUAUUGGCGAGAGACCGAUAGCGCACAAGUAGAGUGAUCGAAAGAUGAAAAGCACUUUGAAAAUAGAGUCAAAAAGUACGUGAAAUUGUUGAAAGGGAAGCGCUUGAGACCAGACUCAGCCUUUGGUAAACAAGUGUCCUUCUGGGCAUUGCACUUGCCUCGGGUUGGGCCAGUAUCAGUUAGGAUGGUAGGAGAAAGGCCAGGGGAAUGUGACUCCAUUUUGGAGUGUUAUAGAUCCUGGUGUCAUGCUACCUGUCCUGACUGUGGACCGUGCAUUAGCUAGGAUACUGGCGUAAUGGUCUUCAGCGACCCGUCUUGAAACACGGACCAAGGAGUCUAACAUCUAUGCGAGUGUUUGGGCUACACACCCUCACGCGUAAUGAAAGUAAACGGAGGUGGGAAUUCUGCAAGGAAUGCACCAUCGACCGAUCCUGAUGUCUUCGGAUGGAUUUGAGUAGGAGCAUAGCUGUUGGGACCCGAAAGAUGGUGAACUAUGCCUGAAUAGGGUGAAGCCAGAGGAAACUCUGGUGGAGGCUCGCAGCGGUUCUGACGUGCAAAUCGAUCGUCAAAUUUGGGUAUAGGGGCGAAAGAC
rnacentral:rRNA from 1 species